AACGCAUAUUGCGCCCGCGGCUUCGGCCAAGGGCAUGUCUGCCUCAGCGUCGGGUUAAUACUCGCCCCACAUUCCCCUGUGAAUGUCUGGGACGGAUCUGGCCGUCCCAGCCCUCUCUCUUUUGAGAGAAGGCUGGGUCGGCUGAAGUGCAGAGGUUUGUUCAAGGACCCGCCAAGGGCCGCAGCUGGUUAGGCAGUGAUGCUAAACGAUUAGCUGUUGGCCUGGGUCCUGGGCGAGCCCUCAACCAGGAAACUCUUACAACUUAUUUCCUCGACCUGAGCUCAGGCAAGAUUACCCGCUGAACUUAAG
rnacentral:misc_RNA from 1 species